AGAGAGAGAGAGAGAGAGAGAGAGAGAGAGAGAGAGAGAGAGAAGAAAAAUGAGGCAGAUCUUUCUGGAUCCCAGAUAUGAAGACGAAAAAAUCUCAACACUGCAGGUCUUGGAUGAGGAUGUUACUGGAAGCUCUGUGUUCUUGUCCUGCUCUUACAGUGACUGUACACUGAAUUCAAACAUGAUUGUUUUGAGACCAAAUUAAAUCAGGAAUAUAUUGAACAUCAUUCAGAGAAAUGAUUCACUUGAGGAUCAGGAUCCAGAAAACAGCGCUUCCCCAGAAGUGUCGACGACAGGAAGCUUCACUCCAGCACUCACUUUCUGCUUCAUCUGUGUGUUUGCACUGCUGGUAAAUAAAGUGUGUCUUCAGGUCACAGUCGAGGGGUUUAUUGGUGGUUCUGUUGUUCUUCCCUGUUCUUCAGCUGAACAUGAUCUUAAACCUCAAGACAUUUAUGUGUAUUGGUUGUAUAGUGGCAGCACAAAUGUGUUUGAUAUAAUCAAGGGUAAAGAUUCAGAAGCAGGACAAGACCCACGAUACAAGAAAAGAGCUAAAACCUUCCCUGAUGAGUAUCUGAGAGGAAACUUCUCCCUUAAACUCAUCACUGUCACUGAAACUGAUGCAGGAGAAUACACCUGUCUCAUCACACACUCAUCUGAAUCAAAUACUGUAGAGCUGAUCCUUAAAGAAUCAAGAGUAGAGAAAGGAAACCAAACCCAAACAGGAACAGAUCCAGAUGUGAAGACAUCAUCAUCUUAUCACUGGGUUUACAUUGCAGUACCUGUAUUAUUAAUAAUAGUGUUGUUUAUUAUUGCCGGUUUCAUCAUAUUUAACUAUAGAAAAAGAGCUCAAGCUUGUUCAUUCUCAUCUGCCACGACUGAAGAACAAACAACAGCAACAUAAACAGAUCUAAAAGUUUCACGUUACACUUUCUCUGACAGUUAGAUAAGUAACGUUUAGUUGAAUCAAUGCAUCUUUCAUUGGUUUCUUCUGGUGUUAAAAACAGCUAGUGUAGAAGACCGUGUUUUGUUCAUUUAUUUUAUUGCCACAUGCACUGCUUUGUUUUUAUUAUAUAACAGAAUAAGAUCUUGACAGUUUUUUUAUAUUUCGUUGAUGUCUGAAUCUGCCAGUAUGUUGCCUGAACAUUUCUGCACCACAAGUGCUCUUUCUAGUUGUGUUUGACAUAAUAAAUUUAUUUUUUUAUUCUUUCUGUAUUAUUUUAUAUUUGUUAAAUUGUUUCUGCACAUCAUUUACCAGAUCUGAUUUUUUAAUUCAUGAUAACACAUCCGUUUUAUUUCUGUGUAUGUACAGUGUGCAGAAGAUAAAUCAGAUAAAGAUGUUGCUCAGGGUUUAGAUCUGUUACACAGCUCUGCAGACUGAUGUCAGAAGAGCACAAUGUUUGAUUCAUAUGCACUAUUUAAGUUCAAGUUUAAAUCUGCUUGUUACAAUGUGUCUGUUCAUGUAAAUGCAUGAGCUUCAUGAGUGUGAAAAGAUGCCUUUAGAUCUUAAAUCUACUGCAGGAUUCUCAGGUAUUCAGAGCUCAAGAAACUUGGGUAAGUGUAUGAUCUCAAUGUUAAAGACUCAAAUUGUGCAGAUGAAGUA